rnacentral:rRNA from 1 species
AAUGGGCGCAAGCCUGAUCCAGCCAUGCCGCGUGAGUGAUGAAGGCCCUAGGGUCGUAAAGCUCUUUCGCCCGUGAAGAUAAUGACGGUAGCAGGUAAAGAAACCCCGGCUAACUCCGUGCCAGCAGCCGCGGUAAUACGGAGGGGGUUAGCGUUGUUCGGAAUUACUGGGCGUAAAGCGCGCGUAGGCGGAUUAGUAAGUCAGAGGUGAAAUCCCGGGGCUCAACCCCGGAACUGCCUUUGAUACUGCUAGUCUUGAGUUCGAGAGAGGUAAGUGGAAUUCCGAGUGUAGAGGUGAAAUUCGUAGAUAUUCGGAGGAACACCAGUGGCGAAGGCGGCUUACUGGCUCGAUACUGACGCUGAGGUGCGAAAGUGUGGGGAGCAAACAGGAUU